GUGCCAGCCGCCGCGGUAAUACGUAGGGCGCAAGCGUUAUCCGGAAUUAUUGGGCGUAAAGAGCUCGUAGGCGGUUUGUCGCGUCUGCCGUGAAAGUCCGGGGCUUAACCCCGGAUCUGCGGUGGGUACGGGCAGACUAGAGUGCAGUAGGGGAGACUGGAAUUCCUGGUGUAGCGGUGAAAUGCGCAGAUAUCAGGAGGAACACCGAUGGCGAAGGCAGGUCUCUGGGCUGUAACUGACGCUGAGGAGCGAAAGCAGGGGGAGCGAACAGGAUUAGAUACCCCAGUAGUCC
rnacentral:rRNA from 1 species